rnacentral:rRNA from 1 species
CACGUAGGGGGCAAGCGUUGUCCGGAAUCAUUGGGCGUAAAGAGCUCGUAGGCGGCUCAGUAAGUCGGGUGUGAAACCCUCAGGCUCAACCUGGGGACGCCACCCGAUACUGCUGUGGCUAGAGUCCAGUAGGGGAGUGUGGAAUUCCCGGUGUAGCGGUGAAAUGCGCAGAUAUCUGGAGGAACACCGGUGGCGAAGGCGGCAUCCUGGACCGAGAUUGACGCUGAGGCGCGAAAGCCAGGGGAGCAAACGGG